CGGAUACCGCUCUGUGAAUGAACUGGACUUAUAUAUUCCACACCAUUUACACACUAGGACUUUGGCAUUUUGAACGACUGGUCACACUGCGGCUCAUCAAAUGCACUGCACAGUGGGGUCAAGCAAGCUGCCUAUCAAACUUUUAGAGAAAAUGCAAAAAUACCAUAUUCGACUCGAAAAAAUUAACUUUGAAAAGGUUAACCAAGAAAUGAAGAUUUUAAUUUAAGCUUACAAAGGCAUCACAAGUUAUUCAGAACCAUAUUGUUUGUAGGCUACAAGAAACAAUAAAAACAUCCAGGAAAUUAACUUCGAUUUGGUCAAAGUUGAUAUGUGCGCAGUUAUGGAUGACUUAAGACUUAAUCGUAUUAGGUAUAAAACUUUCGUUUAACAACAAUUAAAUUGCCUUCAAUAAAUUAUUUAAUUUGGGGUAAUAUUAAACACUCUUCGUCUACUAA